UUAAACGGACAGAGCCCGUGAAUCCGGGCGGCAGAAUUCAAAAUUGAUGACRAUUUCGGUUGUCGUUGGUUUGAUAUUUCUGUCGCCGUUUACGGACGUUGCGACCCGUUUGGUGUCAGUCUUAAGAGUCAUGCGUAAGUUCGUUGACGCAGCUGACUUGUCGGUUUGCGUUACGAGUGUGUGUUCUCCGGUUGACUUGCCAGACGGUAUGAAAUGGUGUCUGUGGCGAUGUUCGCAUUGUUACAGUGCCGGUCUGCAACGAAUCUU
rnacentral:rRNA from 1 species